AGUGGAAUUGCUGGGUCAUAUGGUAAUUCUGUGUUUAACUUUUUGAGGAACUGCCAAAUUGUUUUCCACAGCAACUGUACCAUUUGGCGUUCCCACCAGCAAU
rnacentral:pre_miRNA from 1 species